rnacentral:rRNA from 1 species
UCCAAUCGAACCUGGAGAUAGCUGGUUCUCUCCGAAAUAGCUUUAGGGCUAGCCUCAAGUGAUGAUUAUUGGAGGUAGAGCACUGUUUGGACGAGGGGCCCCUCUCGGGUUACCGAAUUCAGACAAACUCCGAAUGCCAAUUAAUUUAACUUGGGAGUCAGAACAUGGGUGAUAAGGUCCGUGUUCGAAAGGGAAACAGCCCAGACCACCAGCUAAGGUCCCAAAAUAUAUGUUAAGUGGAAAAGGAUGUGGCGUUGCCCAGACAACUAGGAUGUUGGCUUAGAAGCAGCCAUCAUUUAAAGAGUGCGUAAUAGCUCACUAGUCGAGUGACACUGCGCCGAAAAUGUACCGGGGCUAAACAUAUUACCGAAGCUGUGGAUUGUCCUUUGGACAAUGGUAGGAGAGCGUUCUAAGGGCGUUGAAGCAUGAUCGUAAGGACAUGUGGAGCGCUUAGAAGUGAGAAUGCCGGUGUGAGUAGCGAAAGACGGGUGAGAAUCCCGUCCACCGAUUGACUAAGGUUUCCAGAGGAAGGCUCGUCCGCUCUGGGUUAGUCGGGUCCUAAGCUGAGGCCGACAGGCGUAGGCGAUGGAUAACAGGUUGAUAUUCCUGUACCACCUAUAAUCGUUUUAAUCGAUGGGGGGACGCAGUAGGAUAGGCGAAGCGUGCGAUUGGAUUGCACGUCUAAGCAGUAAGGCUGAGUAUUAGGCAAAUCCGGUACUCGUUAAGGCUGAGCUGUGAUGGGGAGAAGACAUUGAGUCUUCGAGUCGUUGAUUUCACACUGCCGAGAAAAGCCUCUAGAUAGAAAAUAGGUGCCCGUACCGCAAACCGACACAGGUAGUCAAGAUGAGAAUUCUAAGGUGAGCGAGCGAACUCUCGUUAAGGAACUCGGCAAAAUGACCCCGUAACUUCGGGAGAAGGGGUGCUCUUUAGGGUUAACGCCCAGAAGAGCCGCAGUGAAUAGGCCCAAGCGACUGUUUAUCAAAAACACAGGUCUCUGCUAAACCGUAAGGUGAUGUAUAGGGGCUGACGCCUGCCCGGUGCUGGAAGGUUAAGAGGAGUGGUUAGCUUCUGCGAAGCUACGAAUCGAAGCCCCAGUAAACGGCGGCCGUAACUAUAACGGUCCUAAGGUAGCGAAAUUCCUUGUCGGGUAAGUUCCGACCCGCACGAAAGGCGUAACGAUUUGGGCACUGUCUCAACGAGAGACUCGGUGAAAUCAUAGUACCUGUGAAGAUGCAGGUUACCCGCGACAGGACGGAAAGACCCCGUGGAGCUUUACUGUAGCCUGAUAUUGAAAUUCGGCACAGCUUGUACAGGAUAGGUAGGAGCCUUUGAAACGUGAGCGCUAGCUUACGUGGAGGCGCUGGUGGGAUACUACCCUAGCUGUGUUGGCUUUCUAACCCGCACCACUUAUCGUGGUGGGAGACAGUGUCAGGCGGGCAGUUUGACUGGGGCGGUCGCCUCCUAAAAGGUAACGGAGGCGCUCAAAGGUUCCCUCAGAAUGGUUGGAAAUCAUUCAUAGAGUGUAAAGGCAUAAGGGAGCUUGACUGCGAGACCUACAAGUCGAGCAGGGUCGAAAGACGGACUUAGUGAUCCGGUGGUUCCGCAUGGAAGGGCCAUCGCUCAACGGAUAAAAGCUACCCCGGGGAUAACAGGCUUAUCUCCCCCAAGAGUUCACAUCGACGGGGAGGUUUGGCACCUCGAUGUCGGCUCAUCGCAUCCUGGGGCUGUAGUCGGUCCCAAGGGUUGGGCUGUUCGCCCAUUAAAGCGGUACGCGAGCUGGGUUCAGAACGUCGUGAGACAGUUCGGUCCCUAUCCGUCGUGGGCGUAGGAAAUUUGAGAGGAGCUGUCCUUAGUACGAGAGGACCGGGAUGGACAUACCUCUGGUGUACCAGUUGUCGUGCCAACGGCAUAGCUGGGUAGCUAUGUGUGGACGGGAUAAGUGCUGAAAGCAUCUAAGCAUGAAGCCCCCCUCAAGAUGAGAUUUCCCAACUUCGGUUAUAAGAUCCCUCAAAGAUGAUGAGGUUAAUAGGUUCGAGGUGGAAGCAUGGUGACAUGUGGAGCUGACGAAUACUAAUCGAUCGAAGACUUAAUCAA